CUAAUGUUGGCCAAUAAUCCCUGCAUGAGGUGCUUUUGCUCAGCAGGAGGAUUUAUCUCUCCUGCUACCCAAGAUGAUUAAGAGUUGACUUACAAUUGACGAUGAUGUACACUAGAGCAUGUUAUCAACUCAAGAAAGGGGCUUUGCCUGCAUGAUUUAAUUAACAUUCAUGGUAGUUAAGCUGCACACACAGAGCAUAAUGUCCUCUUUGCUCUAAGAAAAGGAGGGGCUUUCAUCGCCUAGAUUAUGAAAUAUUGAUGAAUUCAUGUAUGCUGACAUCCAUCUAAAAAUGGAAUUGUUCAAUCUGUCAUUCCUUCCCCCUAUCCACAUACAAAAACAUAGUGGCAGUCCUGAGAUAAACAAAAGGAGUGAUGAGGGUGCGCAAAUGAGGAAGGAGAAUAAGAGUCAGGAAGGAAAAACACUGCAAAUGAAAUAUGUCAGAUUAUAACCACAGACACACAACAUCCACAAACAAUCACACAUACACACACACACACAAACACCCACUGUACUAAUUAAUGCAGCUUCGCUUUCAUGACAGAUAUUGGGGAAACAUUAAUUAGAGAGAAAUCUCAUUAAUCCAUUUCCCAGUUCAUUAAUUAUGCAUCAAUGCCAAGUUUUUGUUGGCCUGACAUAAGACAAUCCUGUUCCAACGAAGAUCUGAUGCUGCACGUUGCAAAACAGUUACGGGGCUUUCCUAACUCCACGGGAUGGGACUCAGGACCUACUCAUUUCAUAUGUUGUAUAUAUUUGUGUCCUCUGGACUGCUAUGCCCAGCUUUUCUUUGCUUGUUAUCAGAUGAAGAUGAACAGCGCAGAACUGUGAAUAAAUUGUAUAAUUGGAUAAAGUCAUCUUGCCUGCCUCCUGGCUGCUCUGUCCCCUUCUGAAGACCCACGUUGCCUUUCUGCUCUCCAACUCUCCUCCUCCAUCAAAACAAAAAAGAGUGUGAUAUCCUCAUUUAUAGCUAAAACUGAUUCAGGUACUUGUGUGUAAGCUCCUUAUCUCUAAUUGUGGAAUGAAAGGAUUUAUCAACAUUUUAAAAUUUUGUUUUUCUUUCAGAGUUGGUGGAAGGGAAAUUCUAGAUUAAAUGCUAACCCUGAAGGCAAAACAAUUUUCGUCAUAUUAAGGUGCUGUAUGUUAGGGGACGGUGAAGUUGUGGUGAG
rnacentral:lncRNA from 1 species